rnacentral:rRNA from 1 species
GACAGAGGGAGCAAACGUUGUUCGGAAUUACUGGGCGUAAAGCGCGUGUAGGCGGCCCUGCAAGUCGGGUGUGAAAUCCCACGGCUCAACCGUGGAAGUGCAUUCGAAACUGCAGGGCUAGAGUCCUGGAGAGGAAGGUGGAAUGCUUGGUGUAGAGGUGAAAUUUGUAGAUAUCAAGCGGAACACCGGUGGCGAAGGCGGCCUUCUGGACAGUGACUGACGCUGAGACGCGAAAGCGUGGGGAGCAAACAGG